ACCGCCUGGCUGCAGGUCUCAUGGGACUGAGGUUCACUGUGCUGCUGGGGCAGGUGGCAGGCUCGUCCCUGUCUGUUCCCUGCUUCGCCAGCGCCUGCUGUCUCCCCAGUUCCGCACUGCCUUAUAGCUCGGCUUAGGCUCCUAAUCAGAAUGGUUGUAAUUGAGGAACAAGCUUGGAUUGAUACUUGCAGGGCUGCUGCUAACACUGGCCCGCUGGCAGUGUACACAAGAGCCCCACGCAGCAAAGAGUUAGCCCAUCUAGAAUGUCCGUCCCGAAGCCCAGAAACUGUGUUGUAGAAUAAGAGGAAAAGCUGAAUGAAGGGAACACCUUGAGAAAAACCAGUAUUUAGGACGUGUCCACCAGAAGGAAGUCAGAGCGAGGCAAAUUUAAAAAACGUCUGGGAGUCAGAGAUGUAGAGAAUUUUAAAGGGGAAGAAAAAAAAGACCAAAAUUGUUGAAUGUAGUGAAUUGACCCUCACAGGAAAGGUUUUCAUGUGUGUAGUGGGUCUGUAAUUGGAAGGUCACCAGGGGUUUUAGUGAAGAGGAGGCGAGACUGUGGGGUGGGGAGAGGUGAGAAGGCGCCACAUGACCCCUUGUGGGAGAGGUUACAGGGAGGGGACACGGAUGGGCAGUCAGCAGAGCUGUGGUCCUCCACCCCGCCGUAAUGCACCUCGUUCCCCGCGGACCCUGCCUGGCCUGGUGGUACAGCACCGCGCAGCGGGUAGCUAUCAGGAUUUCUUAAGUGUUCUUAGUGACAGCCAGGAUUGAACCCCACAGAGCUGAAGGGUGAGAGGGUGGCAGAUGACAUCCGGUCCUGGUAGAAGCCGUUCGGGCGUGGGUCAGGGCCGUGGGUUGUUAGGCUCCAUCUCAGGAGUCCAGAGGGAGAAGUCAGUAUUGAUGUAGAGAAGUUGGACACAGGCAUUUGGAGAGUUCCUGCCUAAGGCCCCAGUUUUCAUAACAGAAUAAAAGUCAGUUACUGAGAAUCAGUUCCUGGGUAGGAAAUUUGGAGAGUGAAAUUCGGUGAAAGCCUCUGAGGGGAACGCAGACAAGACUGAGAGCGCCGCCGUCCGUGGGGCUCGGUGCCUCCUGCUGGUCACGUGCGUUUCCUCCAGCGGCGCUUAGCCAACCCUGGCGGAGGAGCAAGAAGUGGGUGACAGCCUGGAUCCAGAACUGGCAGUGCAGUGGGUGGGGGGAGAGAAGGCGCACAGGAGAUAAUCCCAUUAAAUCAGAAUCCUACGUCCUGCAUUUGUCCUAAGAAGGAGUGUCCGCAGCCAGCUUUGCACAAGAUGUGAGGUGACAGACAGAUGCGCGGGUGUGCGGUAGAGCAAGUGCAGGGACGUGUCAGCAGUGAAGCCGGGAAGGUGUGGGGGGUCAGUAGCGUCCAGUAGGACUUUUCGGAAUGAUGGAGCCGUUCUGUGAUCUGGGCCGUCAGAGGUGGUGAGUACUAGUGACCUGUGGCGCCAGGCCCUUGAAAUGUGGUCAGUGUGAUGGAGGAAUGUUGAGUUUCAUUAACUUCAUUAACUUAAGUUUAAAUUGGUAAAGCCACAUGUAGCUAGUGGGUGCAGAUUAGGUCACACAGCCUGAGACUCGCGCCCCUGGCCGCACAUCUGGGACCUACCCCUGACCCCGGCGGCUUUCUGUCUCCUGGUUCGUUCUCCUUGGAAAUGGGAACAGCUCUGAUACCUGCUUCCGACAGGCCAGAUGGGAUGAAGCGCGAACACAGAUAGAUGUGGCAAACACUUAAAAAAUUUCACGUUUAUUAACCCCAAUAAACGGGGCCCAUGUGUUGGGGGGCUGCCGUCCGUUGUGCUCAGCACUGGGUCCAGUGCCUGGUGCCAGGCCCCAUACAUAAAAGAUGUGCAGUGAACAUCUGUUGGUGGGAAAACGGGGG